GACGAACGCUGGCGGCGUGCUUAACACAUGCAAGUCGAACGGUGACCCGGACUUCGGUCCGGCGAUCAGUGGCGAACGGGUGCGUAACACGUGGGCAACCUGCCCCUCACUCUGGGAUAACCCCGGGAAACCGGAGCUAAUACCGGAUACUCUCGCGGAGCCUCAUGGCAUUUGCGAGGAAAGAUCCGUCGGUGAGGGAUGGGCCCGCGGCCUAUCAGCUUGUUGGUGGGGUAACGGCCUACCAAGGCGACGACGGGUAGCUGGUCUGAGAGGACGACCAGCCACACUGGAACUGAGAUACGGUCCAGACUCCGUACGGGAGGCAGCAGGUGGGGAAUCUUGCGCAAGUGGGCGAAAGCCUGACGCAGCGACGCCGCGGUGGGGA
rnacentral:rRNA from 1 species